UGCUACCACAGGGGUUCGAACCCUGGCGGACUGAUGUCCAGCGCAUCUUAAGUGCGCCUCCUUAACCACUCGGACAUAGUAGC